rnacentral:rRNA from 1 species
CAGCCAUGCCGCGUGAGUGAUGAAGGCCCUAGGGUUGUAAAGCUCUUUCAGCGAGGAGGAUAAUGACGUUACUCGCAGAAGAAGCCCCGGCUAACUUCGUG